UACGUAGGGGGCAAGCAUUGUCCGGAUUUAUUGGGCGUAAAGAGCGUGUAGGCGGCCAGGUAGGUCAGCUGUGAAAACUCGAGGCUCAACCUCGAGCUGUCGGCUGAAACCAUCUGGCUAGAGUCCGGAAGAGGAGAAUGGAAUUCCCGGUGUAGCGGUGAAAUGCGCAGAUAUCGGGAAGAACGCCCGUGGCGAAGGCGGUUCUCUGGGACGGUACUGACGCUGAGACGCGAAAGCGUGGGGAGCGAACAGG
rnacentral:rRNA from 1 species